rnacentral:tRNA from 1 species
AUUAGGAUCGCCAAGCCAGGUCAAAGGCGGCGGGCUUAAGACCCGCUCCCGUAGGGGUUCGCGGGUUCGAAUCCCGCCCCCCGCACCA